rnacentral:rRNA from 1 species
UACGAGUGGUGCUAGCGUUAUUCGGAAUCAUUGGGCGUAAAGGGCGCGUAGACGGCGUGUUAAGUUUGCUGUUAAAUCCUUCGGCUCAACUGAAGAUCAGCGGUGAAUACUGGCAUGCUAGAGGGUGGAAGGGAGAAGUGGAAUUCUCGGAGUAGCGGUAAAAUGCGUAGAUCUCGAGAGGAACACCAAUGGCGAAGGCAGCUUCUUGGUCCAUUCCUGACGUUGAGGCGCGAAAGCGUGGGGAGCAAACAGG